rnacentral:lncRNA from 1 species
CAGACUGCUUGUGCUCAUCAAAGAUCCCAUGCCACUUUUUGCAAGAGAUAAGUGUCUGUAUCCUGACUCGAUUCCAGUUUGGGUAAUAACAUUCAACCUUCCCAAAUUCCCAUUGAAAUUUCAAUGGCACAUGGUGGUGUUCUGCUCCUCAGCUGUUGUGUAGCAUUGCUGUUGAUUGUUAAGACCCAGCUGUGAGACACCCCAGAGGCGGCUGCAAGUAGGGGAUGAAGUGACUCCUGGAUAUACAUCUGCAUACCAGGUAUCUGCAUUCAGAAGCUGGCCUUGAGUACCAGCUGCAGCAAGAGAAUGACAGCUGGCUGGAUUUUUGAGAGCUUUUAAUAAGAGAAGCUGCCCCUUUUAAUACCAUCUGCCACCCAUUUAAAGCUGCAGGGAAGGUAAUUAGAUGAAUAAAGGCCAUUACUUCUAAAGGAUGAUCUCUCUCUUUGUGAAGUGCUGGUAUGUUCCCCUAUGAGAGGUGAGGUGCAAUAUGAAUGUAGCUUGCUACUGAUCAAUGCUGGCCUGUCCUUAUGACAUAGCGUGUUCUCUGUUCCCUGUCCCGUUGCAGGUGGCGAUCACACAAUAACAUACCCGAUCCUGCAGGCAGUGGCAGAAAAGCAUGGUCCCGUGGGACUGGUUCACGUGGAUGCUCAUACCGACACAGGAGACAUAGCGCUGGGGGAGAAGAUCUAACAUGGGACGCCAUUCCGACGCUGCGUGGAGGAGGGGCUCCUGGAUUGCAAACGCGUGGUUCAGAUCGGAAUCAGAGGCUCCUCCUACACCCCGGAUCCCUACAAAUACUGCCGGGACCAGGGUUUCCGUGUCGUCCUGGCUGAAGACUGCUGGCUGAAGUCAUUGGUCCCACUGGUGGGGGAGGGGAG